GACGAACCACACGAACGUUAUUCGGAAUCACUGGGCUUAAAGGGUGCGUAGGCGGCGCGGAAAGUAGGGUGUGAAAUCCCUCGGCUCAACCGAGGAACUGCGCUCUAAACUACCGUGCUCGAGGGAGGUAGAGGUGAGCGGAACUUAGGGUGGAACGGUGAAAUGUGUUGAUAUCCUAAGGAACACCGGUGGCGAAAGCGGCUCACUGGAUCUCUUCUGACGCUGAGGCACGAAAGCUAGGGUAGCGAACGGG
rnacentral:rRNA from 2 species